UGCUGCAGAACUUGAUGACAUGCUGGGCGAGGACACAUCUAAAACCUGCUGGACCCGAGGCCAUUGAUGACUGGAGCUGGACACCCCUGAUGUUGCGUUUUAACACAGCUUAAAGCUCAGUCCCAGAAACGGGCUGCUGCCAUCUGCUCGCAGAUGCAUGGUGAUAAAGUGCAAUACAAUAAGUCAAUGGAGUCCCCAGAUGAAGUGCAACCUUUCGAUCCAUCUAUUGCCUCAUCCUCCCUCCUCUUUGAUUAAACCAGUGAACUUCCAUUGUUGUGGCUCGGUCCUUACUGGUGAAUUGAACUCGGUUAACAGCAGCUGUGAUGAGCUCGUUGCUUGCAGCAGCCCCUGUGUUUGUUUCUCAAGGAGUCUCUCCUCUGUUUGUACUGAAUAUUUUAACAAUAAGCGUCUCCAAUGAGGGAGCUGAAA